UACGUAGGUGGCGAGCGUUAUCCGGAAUGAUUGGGCGUAAAGGGUGCGCAGGCGGUCCUGCAAGUCUGGAGUGAAACGUAUGAGCUCAACUCAUGCAUGGCUCUGGAAACUGGAGGACUGGAGAGCAGGAGAGGGCGGUGGAACUCCAUGUGUAGCGGUAAAAUGCGUAGAUAUAUGGAAGAACACCAGUGGCGAAGGCGGCCGCCCUGGCCUGUUGCUGACGCUGAGGCACGAAAGCGUGGGGAAGCAAAUAGGG
rnacentral:rRNA from 1 species